CCCCUCAGUGCCCCCAUUUCCCCCCACGUGCCCUCAGAGCAGCCCCACGUGAGGGCAAAUCUCCAGUGGGAGCUGACCCACUCUCACAACAAACCCAGCCUCACUUUACAAACACCUUAUGCUCUGUCUAGACAGACCUCCCCAGCCCAAAACAGGUUUAGAAGACUGGUGCUCACAUACUUCCAUGGAUUUCCAUACUGGUUCCCAACCUGAGAAGCAGGUCGUAUAAGCCCUGGUGACGUGUGUGGCAGCAGAGCUACUUGUACCCAAACUGGUUGCUUGGGGCUGUUUUCAUCGCCUUUGUGCCGGAAUGUCCUCGAAGGGCAGCCUCAACGGGAGGAGAGGCUGGAGAAGGGCACUGAGACAAUCCCCAGGAUGUGUUGAUGAGCUCCAUAAGCCGAGGUGGAUUCAUCACCAAUAAUGUAUUGGUUUAAAGGAGAUCCAUAAUGACAUCUUCUUUUGCAAAGAGCUUUUCCAUGCAACUGCGAGGACCAGAUACUCCUCUUAAAUGACAAGAGCUGAGAAUCUUGUGCGCUUGCAUGACCACAACGAUUUUAAAAACUCCUUUAACUAAACCACUGCCCAGGUUUUACGGAAGACGCGCGAGGCUGAUGUACGUGCGGGCUGCUGACACCCAGCGCAGAACACGCGGGCUCCAAAGCACCUCAAAUUAUCUCCUGCUGGCUUUUGAAGAUACGUCUCCACCCUCCAUUCAGAAUGACAACUUUUGGCAACAACAAGAAAACAGAAAUGACAGAUGGUAACAAAAUCUGGUACACAAACAUGACAGUAGGCAGUAUAAUGAACAUUUCACCCACUCCUUCAUUUAUGCUAAUCGGUGCUUUUGAGCAACCGGAAUUGUUCUGCCAGACAGCCGCGGAUCUGAAGCACAGCAGAGCAAAUCUCAGAGGGCCACCAACCUGAAGCCAGGGUAAAACCUACCAAGUGACUCGUUGUGAAUUGAAUUAAAGUACCACUAAACUCCAGCCUGCUCUGGCGGACACUGAAAAAUCCCCCCGCUCCCAAAAAGCACAUUGACCUCUCCUCCUGCCUGAAACUCCUGCCCGGAAAACACCACGUCCACAAAAUAGAGGCAGUCCGGUCUUCCUGCUACCCAAAGCUCCACCAAAACUCAGAGGAACCAUCAAAACUGAGAACUAGCAGCCUUGCAGUCGGGUUUUUUUCAAGGGUUUGCACAGACACAGAGGCUUCUCAUCCCCUACCACCCAUACUCCCCUCUUCAUUUUCCUGGUGUCAGAGUUAGGAAGCCACACAUGAUGUUCCUUCUCUCCAAGACCUGGUGAACUGGCUGGUAGGUCGUCUGGUGAGAAGGGAUCUGUCCUGGGAUGCUGUGAAAAGGUGGGAGCUUCUGCCUGUUGUUUGCCACGGAAAAGGGAAGAUGUCUGCAUUCAGCUGCUGCUGAUACCAGGAACACCAGCUCAAACCCAGGAACACCAGCUCAAACCCAGGAACAUCAGCUCAAACCCAGGAACACCAGCUCAAACCCAGGAACAUCAGCUCAAACCCAGGAACACCAGCUCAAACCCAGGAACAUCAGCUUGGGACGGUGCUGCUCCAAUGCUGCUGUGGCUGCAGGAGGCUUCACCCCGUGUCCUUGGCAGCCCAGGUGUGUUCACAGGGGUCCCCCAGCCUGAGGUCCCCGGGUGCCCUGGUGCUGCCCAGCCACGGACACCCAGCUCUGGCACGGGAUGCGUGGGGCACAGGGGCCGGGAUGUGGUGCUGGGUGGUCUCCGUGGCUUUGCUGCAGCUCCUGGGGCCAGAACCCCAACAGCCUCCAGCCCUGCCGGGGCCGUCCCCACAUCCCGGCUCGCUGGACACACUCAAAGUUCACGGUGCUAUAAAUACCCGGAGCAGGGCGCCAGUGCUCCCGGCCGGGUGGGGGGGCUGAGAAAACCCGAAGGGGUUUCGUUGCAAUUAACCCUGUGGGUGCACAAGUCCUCUCUGUGCGGUUUGAGAAAGAGGAAUCCUCCGAUUCAAAAUGUUUCUAAAGCCAGAAGAGUGCAGCAAACUCCUUCUGUGGGUUGAUUCCUGCUGCAAACAGCCCUGGGAUAGGUACUGGGAUUGGAGGAGCGCAGGAGGCUGCAGGACAGCACAGGGAAUGGGUGGUUUGUGGCCAGGAACAUCCACAGUGUGACCCCCCAGCUUGGGCAGAUCCUCGUGCUGGGGACACGGUGAUGUGGGGCCAGCAUGGCUUGUGUUGUCCCCUAAAGCAGAGGCUGCCUGUGCACCUCUCACUGCCCUCAGAGCCCAGGCUGGUGCUGCACAGCCCCACACCCUGCCCUGUACGGCCCCAUACACUACAGUCCUUUACCCCCGAGCCUGCCCCGUGUCCCUGGCCCCAUGUGCAGGUCUCACUCCCAGCAGAAGGGCUAAAACUUGUUGAAAAUCCCAGAGUGCCACAGAAAUGCCCUAAAUCAGGACAAGCUCCAUCGCUGGCUCAGGGACAGCCCCAAAACAUGGAGUCCCCAGUGGUGUCAGGUCACCUGAGGCACAGCACAGUGCAGUGAGGUGUGAAGGGGCUCUCUCUGGAAAGCCAAACACAUGGGGAGACCCCCACCACCCUACUCGAGGCUGUACAGAGCCCUUUCACGGUGCCAAAUGUGUCUUUUUAAGCAUUUCUCUCACAAACUCUACUCUGCUGGGUUGAGGGGCAAGACAGUCUCCAAGGAAGAGCCUCUUCCCCCUUUCACCCUGUUCAGAGCAUGGGAGAUGGAAAGCUCAGAGCAAUGGCAGAGGACAAGCCUGCAGAGCAGAGCCUGAUGAGCUGUCUGUGACCUUGUGGCUCCUGCUGGGGCUGGACACAACUCAGUGCACACAUGGCUCAGGACCGAGCAAGGUCCUUGUCACCGAAGGUCUCACAGCACCCAGGGCUGAUCCCCAGCUCCAGCGGGGCCGGGCUGUCCCGAGCACAGGGCCGGACGUCCCCAGGGUCUCGCAGGGGAAUCUCAUGGGCCUGCUCAGGUCACAGUGCCCAGCUGACCCUGCCACCAGAACAACCUCAUUUCAGCCUCGGAAAUGUCACCUUUCGUGUCCCUUUGGGCCAAGCAAAGGCACAUUCAUCACUUCACUCUCCAUCAUUUCCCUCUCCUCCCCAUCACCGCAGUUCCACCUUGGUGCUGCGGGAUGCCACAGCUCUUCCCCACACUUGACCGGUAUUUUGUGUUACUCAGGUCGUAUCUCCUCCUGCCCACAGGGUCCUGCCCCACGGCUGCGCCCUGUGCCCCGUCCCCCAUGCUCCCUGUGCUGGCUGCCCCAGGGCUGGUCCCUCCACGCCCCCACGGCCACCGAGUGUGGCAUCGCCGGAUUCCGUGCCCGGCACGGCACCGGAGCAGAGGAGCCGGAGCCGGAGGCACUAGGGGGAGAUAAAGGCCGGGACAUGCCGGGCCCUGCGCCCUCGCCAGCCCCUCCUGUCCCCUUGUCCCCAGGGCCACCCUGGUCCCGGCUACUGGCGGGGACAAAGAGGAGAGCUGCAGGUUUCCGCCUGUCACAGUCCCGUUGCUUUGCGGGGUCUUUCCUGGCAUCUUCGGUCUCUGGGAAGCACCUCUGGCAACGAGAGGCCUUACGGCAUUUACAUCUUCAUGCAGCAGGUAUAACAGCAAGAAACCACCUUUUCCCACGUGCAAAGAGCACAGGGGCACCCCAAAAACUCACCCAGGAGGAAGGAGAACAGCAUACAGCACCCAGACCAGGGGCCAGCAGGGAAGGAGGGGUCUGGGGACCCAGCCUGGAAGCAGAGAGUGACACACACUGCUGAGCUGAGCUGGAAGCUCAGCCUGUUGUUGCCCCAACUCCCCUUUCCCAAUGCCCCUCAGGUGCACUUGGCAUUGGCACAGCCAUGACAGCCUUCACAGGACCCCAGCACCAGCAAACUGGGCACCUCCAGGGCUAAAACCAUUCCAGGGGACAUCUGGCUCUAGGCACCACCCCGAUAUCACACCAGCUCCUCUCUUCCCAUGGAUGUUCCCUUCUACAGGGGCUCCCUGCAGCCCCUCUCACCAGAGAUGGGAGGAUUUCAGAUGGGCAGAGUUUGGGGGAGGUCCCAGGAGACAAAGAGCCAAACCAGCAGGACCUGUCCCCAGCAGAGUUGUUUGUGCCCAGCUGGGUCACACAGGGCCCUGUGGGUGCAGCCCUGGCUCCCGUGUCAUGAAUUGGUGCCAGAUGCUGGGCAGGCACAGUGCGAGGGCAGCUCCGUGGGCAGGAGCCAUGUGAGGGGGGCACUUCUCCCUUGUAUCUUCUAUGGAUUAGAAAGAAAAGUUACAUCUUACCCCGUUUUUCCAGUGUGACUGGCACAGAGUUAACCCAAAUACUACUGAUAAACGUUUUUAUGUUGCCUGUGAUGCCAUCAAUCCAUAGUGCCCUUGGGACCUGGGCUCACCAGGCACAUCCCUGAGCUCCCCCUAAAAAACCCACACAGCACCUGCCCCCAAACCACCAACCUACCCCAAACUUGUGUUUUCUCUCCCACUCUCCAGUUUGGUCACAUCGUGGUACCGCUUCCCCUGCAGCCACAUCUCUGAUUUGCUCAUAUUCACAGUUACUUACAGCUCCAGCUCCACAGUUCUCAAUACCCUCACUCUUGAACUUCCCAUCUGCCGGCGCUGGAGGGGAACAGGGCGGCUGGUAACGCAAUCGGGAUGUUGGCCUCGGACCAGGAGGCUGGAUGCAGAGGGAGGAAGGCAGAGGGGUGCCUGGGGCAGGGUGUCAUCUGAGCCCCUGCGGGAACAGGGUGUCUUUGCCUCGAUAUGAGCUGGCAAGAGCGAGAGGAGGGAAGGAGAUCCUCCGUCAGCACUUUGCUAUGCGCCGCACUCCCUGUCCCCCACUCCCGGGACACACGGACUCACCGCUGCGGUGGCAGCACACCCAUACCCAGGGCUGCUCAUCCUGGCUCCUUGCUCCCUCCCAGGCCUGGAAAGUUUCACGGCUUCGUUACAAACACACGCUCAAAGAGCAGAGACUGGGUGCGUCAGUGCUUUUCCCGUGCUGUGAGGUGAGGGAGGUGCACACGGGAGCACCCCAUGGCUCACCCCGUGUGCCGAGUGUGCUGACAGAGGCGGCUCUGGCACGAUGCUGUGGAUAUGAAAGAGCUGCAGAUUUGUGCUCAGCCCCCAGCACAGCCCCUAAACCUUUUGGAGGCUCUUGUGCAAGUCUGGGGUUUGCACUGUCUCUUAGCCAGUAGCAGAUACCCGUGGAUUUGCAGCAGUUUUACCUGGAAGUAAAGGCUUAUUUUUUCUGGUAUUUUUCAAUAACAUUAAAUAAAGACAAAGGGAUUGCCUGGGAUUGCUUGUGGCACCCAAAUCAGG